UACGGAGGGGGCUAGCGUUGUUCGGAAUUACUGGGCGUAAAGCGCACGUAGGCGGCUUUGUAAGUUAGAGGUGAAAGCCCGGGGCUCAACUCCGGAAUUGCCUUUAAGACUGCAUCGCUAGAAUUGUGGAGAGGUAAGUGGAAUUCCGAGUGUAGAGGUGAUAUUCGUAGAUAUUCGGAAGAACACCAGUGGCGAAGGCGACUUACUGGACACAUAUUGACGCUGAGGUGCGAAAGCGUGGGGAGCAAACAGG
rnacentral:rRNA from 1 species